GAGAACAUUAAUACACUGAUCUCACCUAGUAAACAUGGUAAAAUGCCUGUUUCUGAUUUUAAUUCUGACUCCAGGUGUGAUGACUGCAGACCAGAUUACGCCGAAUAAAGAAACUAGUGUCAUGAAGGAAGAUGAGACUGUGACCCUCAGCUGCACAUAUGAUACAAGCAGCAGAAGAGUUAGACUUUACUGGUACAGACAGUAUCCUAAUGGAGAACCUCAGUAUUUAAUGUGGAAAGAGGCUCGGGCAUGGAGUAGCACUGGGACCCCAGCUGAACCUCGCUUUCAGGCGACUACAUCAGAAACAUCCACUGAACUCAGUAUUACUGGUGUAACUCUGUCAGAUUCAGCUCUCUAUUAUUGUGCUCUAAGAGUUGGAGCCCAGUGAUACAAAGUCUAUGUGAAGCCGUACAAAAACUCAAAUUCAUUUUUCACUUUGAUCUCAAGCCACAUCAAACCCACAAUCUAUAAUUCACACAAUAUAAUUAAACUUGUGGAAACACCUGUGGGUG